CCUCAACCAAACCUAACUCAAUAUAAACCAAACUAACCCAAUUAAACUUAAAUUUUGAAAUGAUACAGUGGAGACCUUGACAUGAAUUUGACCUAUCCAUUACUUGUACUUGAAAAACUCACCCACACAAGGCAGCAGUGACUGCUGCACUGAUGAAGACUGUUGAUGUUGCAUUAGUGGCUGCUGAGGACAAUGAUGUAGAGGCUCCUGGUAGUGCUGCAUUAAUGGUUGCGGUUGACAAUGAUUAAAUGUUUCCUGAGGAUGAUGAAUUAAAGGCUGCUGUGGAUA